UACGGAGGAUGCAAGCGUUAUCCGGAAUGAUUGGGCGUAAAGCGUCCGCAGGUGGCUAUGUAAGUCUGCUGUUAAAGAGUGAGGCUCAACCUCAUAAGUGCAGUGGAAACUACAUGGCUAGAGUGCGUUCGGGGCAGAGGGAAUUCCUGGUGUAGCGGUGAAAUGCGUAGAUAUCAGGAAGAACACCGGUGGCGAAAGCGCUCUGCUAGGCCGCAACUGACACUGAGGGACGAAAGCUAGGGGAGCGAAUGGG
rnacentral:rRNA from 1 species